AUUGGGAGCUUGCGCAAUGUAAGUGAUGCCAAUUCAAGGAAUUUUUUAAUGGAUAAAUACUGGAAUUUUAAAGAACAAAUUAACUAAUUUAUACUAUGAAAUAGCAAAAAAGAAAUCUCAGCUGAAAGAGAUAAGGAUAUAGGGUGAUAGAAGUAGUCCCUGAAAUUGAUGUGGAGUGAAAGCCCACCUAUGGGUAAUUUGCAUUUUGGGCUGUUAGAAUUUAACUUCAAAGCAUGUUAAUAUUUACCAUUUGGAUUUUUCAUUGUAUAUAUGAUGCAUUUUGCACAUCUCAUUAAAUUCCUUGAUCUAAUGUGGAUUAUUUGAUGAUGUAGCUAUCACUAUUAAAUG
rnacentral:misc_RNA from 1 species